UCAGCUCGUGUCGUGAGAUGUUGGGUUAAGUCCCGUAACGAGCGCAACCCUUGUCCUUAGUUACCAGCACGUUAUGGUGGGCACUCUAAGGAGACUGCCGGGUGACAAACCGGAGGGAAGGUGGGGAUGACGUCAAGUCAUCAUGGCCCUUACGGCCUGGGCUACACACGUGCUACAAUGGUCGGUACAAAGGGUUGCCAAGCCGCGAGGUGGAGCUAAUCCCAUAAAACCGAUCGUAGUCCGGAUCGCAGUCUGCAACUCGACUGCGUGAAGUCGGAAUCGCUAGUAAUCGUGAAUCAGAAUGUCACGGUGAAUACGUUCCCGGGCCUU
rnacentral:rRNA from 1 species